rnacentral:snoRNA from 1 species
AAUCCAUGGUGAGGACACCUUCGCAGUAGGUCCUUGUAUCUCUCCCAUGCAUCGCAAAAAGUUUCUAAGUUCAUCUGCACAAACGAAGGGACAUCAUUACGUAAUU